rnacentral:rRNA from 1 species
GAGUGGCGGACGGGUGAGUAAUGUCUGGGAAACUGCCUGAUGGAGGGGGAUAACUACUGGAAACGGUAGCUAAUACCGCAUAACGUCGCAAGACCAAAGAGGGGACCUUCGGGCCUCUUGCCAUCGGAUGUGCCCAGAUGGGAUUAGCUAGUAGGUGGGGUAACGGCUCACCUAGGCGACGAUCCCUAGCUGGUCUGAGAGGAUGACCAGCCACACUGGAACUGAGACACGGUCCAGACUCCUACGGGAGGCAGCAGUGGGGAAUAUUGCACAAUGGGCGCAAGCCUGAUGCAGCCAUGCCGCGUGUAUGAAGAAGGCCUUCGGGUUGUAAAGUACUUUCAGCGGGGAGGAAGGGAGUAAAGUUAAUACCUUUGCUCAUUGACGUUACCCGCAGAAGAAGCACCGGCUAACUCCGUGCCAGCAGCCGCGGUAAUACGGAGGGUGCAAGCGUUAAUCGGAAUUACUGGGCGUAAAGCGCACGCAGGCGGUUUGUUAAGUCAGAUGUGAAAUCCCCGGGCUCAACCUGGGAACUGCAUCUGAUACUGGCAAGCUUGAGUCUCGUAGAGGGGGGUAGAAUUCCAGGUGUAGCGGUGAAAUGCGUAGAGAUCUGGAGGAAUACCGGUGGCGAAGGCGGCCCCCUGGACGAAGACUGACGCUCAGGUGCGAAAGCGUGGGGAGCAAACAGGAUUAGAU